AGCGAACGCUGGCGGCAGGCCUAACACAUGCAAGUCGAACGGACCCUUCGGGGUUAGUGGCGGACGGGUGAGUAACACGUGGGAACGUGCCUUUAGGUUCGGAAUAGCUCCUAGAAACGGGUGGUAAUGCCGAAUGUGCCCUUCGGGGGAAAGAUUUAUCGCCUUUAGAGCGGCCCGCGUCUGAUUAGCUUGUUGGUGAG
rnacentral:rRNA from 1 species